GUCAUUGUAAUUAUAUAUAUCAUGGUGAGGGCCCUUCCGCUGGUAAGGAAAACUUAGAUAUUUUGCGUAUUAUAUAUUUUUGAUUGAUGUAACAUUUGUUUUCCCCUGACAAAAAGUAAUGUUUGUUUCAUGUUCUUAUUCAGUAAAAAUGUGCACAGCACAAUCUCAAAUUUUAUGCAAAAGCUCAGAUGGCAAUAGUUCCUACACUCAUGUUAUCCAAUAUAAACUGUUGAAUGAUUGAUACAAUUUGAAGGUGAGAUACAAGAACAUCAUAACAUUGAUAUUCUCGUCGUAUGUAUAUGACUACUAUAUAUUCCCGAAACCUCACCUCUAAACUGAGUUUAGUGCAGUUUUUUUAUUUUUUGAAAUACAGGUACUUCUCAAUUUUUGUACUAAUUUUCUAUUUUGGGGAAAGCCACAUAUGUUUCCAACAAUAGAAUGAUGUGUGAUGGUCAUCACACAAACUCCUGGCCAGGUGCCUUUCACAUCUUAUCUUGUUUGUAAUAUAUAUAUUCUCCUUAAAUUGUUAACACAAUGAGCAUAUAGAUGUAGCUGGUUCAUCAACGUAAACAUCAAAAGUAUUCCUCUUAUGCAGUCUGCUUCCCUGACAUGCAGGGCACACUAAGGUGGUGGGAAGAUACAUACAACCGUUAACUUGACGGCUAAGCGAUCAGAUGCGGCGAUUGUGUGAGUGUGUCAGGUACGUCGAAUUCACUUAUCCCAAACUAUUGGAAGUUACUAGGAUCUCCUCUUCUCUGUAAUACUUAUGGCCUUCUCCUCUACCUAUUGGGGCAACAGUUUGGAUAUCCAGCAACCAUGGUGACAAAUACGUGCAUACUGGAACUGUUCCAAGUUUCCAUUUUCUCAGUAAACAAGUGAACUAAGAAAGUGAAUCCUAUUUAAUAAAUGUAGGCAUAUACUAAUACGGUGGCACAACUUAGUCUGCAUGAAUGUUCUGGUCUUCUAAAUUUUUAGUAUAAUGUUGAGUACUUUAGUUGGAGUCCAUGCUAGUUUAGCUAGCCAAGUUGAGUCUAAUAAGGCUAGGUCGAUUAGUUAGUUUUCCACCAUUGCAAGUCGUAAGCAUGUGUGCUCAUGGAUGGGUCGUAGUCUGUAGAUGAUUCAAUGAUUUUGCAUAGGUAGCAGCGUACGUGAUGUACUAGUAUGCCUUGGAGUUGGUGUGCCUUACUAGUCUAGGAAAAGGGCGCUCGAGUCCAAGUCGUUUUAGAUGCAAAGUCAGAGUAGGUUUAGGUUGUUCCGGCCAUGUAGCAGGUCAUAGUUGUGGAAGCAGGUCGUAUAAGAGUUUUUCCAUAGAAAACAAGGUCAUGUAAGAGCUUUCAGACAAGAAUAAAGAGUACGCUAAAGUUUCUUUCAUGCGCAUGUGUUUGGCUAUUUUGAUGUGAUAGAUUCUGUGGACAAAACAGAACAUAGAUUACUAAUCCAUAUGCCAAAUCAGCAGGUUACAGAAACUUGAUUGUUCCAAGUCAAUGUUGUUGGCACUAAAACCUAAAAGACUACUGGUGCCAAGCUGGAUUUGCUAGGAGGUAUUUUCUGAUAUUACUUCUAUAUUGCCUGAAUGAUUCUUCACCAAUUCGAAUGGAAAUUUUGGAUUAUUAAUAGCAUUACUUGAAUAUAUUUUUAUUAUCACACAUGCUUCUGUUCUUUUACCUAAUUCGUACAAGAGAACACUUUUCUUCCAUGUUACAAUGGUCAUACACUCAUACUGCGUCUCUAAGAUAAGACUCUUUGCCGCUAGAUUAGGUAAAAUAAUUCAUCAACUCCUGUAUGCCUUCCUUACAUUCCCUCACUUCCUAUAUAACACUCUGUUUCUAUAAACAUGGUGAAACUUGAUAAUGGAAUGAGCUGAGUUACUUUACUGUAAACUAAAAUGACUACGUUCGGCUACAAAAGUGAUACUUGACAAGUUCAAACAAGAGCGCUGCUCUUACUACAACCCAACGUAUCAACCAAGAAUAUAAAGGUAAAAUUGACGGUGUUAAACUUGGUAAUGAAUUCCUUAUAUUCCGAAUUGAUCUUACAUUAGCAAAAUCUGGUAAGUUUAUACAACUAAUAAAAAGUCAAAAUUACUGGCGAUAUAGCUAGAUUAAUUAUCACAUGGCCUUCAACCUUUCUAUGUUGCUCCUCUUUUUCAAUUUUACUGCCCUAUUAACCUAUCUCAUUUCUUUGUGUAGAUUGCAAGAUAAAUCGGUGAUGCAUCGUCAGAUGUUGAUUGCAAGGUCAAGAACAUGGGUGCAACUAGAUAGUUUCACAUUGUGUUUCAGAAUGUCAUUUUCAUUGUCGAUGUGUCAAUCAUUAUGAUUCAGGCAUUUUCGGUGUCAAUGUUUAGAUCAUUAUGUUUCAAAAUGGCUGAGACGUUGGUUGCAAGAUCAAGAAUAGGACCAGUACUAGUUUCACAUCUUGUAAUCUUUGUAUCCAGAUCCUUGUAAUGCAACCAAGUUGACUUAAUAUAUGAGACAGUUCUGUUUGUUAUACUGCGUGCCCUAUGCAUUAUUGGCAUU
rnacentral:lncRNA from 1 species